AUAUCUUUCUCGGCCUUUUGACUAAGAUAAUAUGUAAUAUUUAUUUUUAUCAAUUUAAUAUCUGGUAUGUGCACCACAUGUCCACUUUUUUGUGGAGAUGGUCCACCACAUAGGCUUACCAUUGGGUACUCACGUGUCGCCCAACCAUGCACUACUGGUAGGGUUUGACGCACCCAAC
rnacentral:snRNA from 1 species